CAAAAAGAAUGAUGUAAUUUAAUUGCCUUGAGUUGGCUGGGCCAUCAUCUAUUAUAAAGUGCUCUUAAAAUUAAAGCUAAUUUAAUUCUGAAGAACUAAGGAUUAAGAAGUUAAGAGCUGGGGUUCUUACAAUAUGGCUUGCAGACUACAAGUGUGAACUGAGGAGGUCCCCAAAGUCACUUCUUACUAAGUUCAGAUAGGUGAUGGAUUGAAAAUAAUCCCAAUAUUCCACAAGCAACAUCAACAUCCCCCACACACCCAGCACCGAGGAAUACCCUCCUCUCUAGAAUGUGAGGCCACUGUGUGGAGGAAGACACCACGGUGCUCUACUGAGCCAUGAAAGUCACGCCUGACCUAAACAGAAGACUACGUCCCCUGGCUAAAAGAGGAAAUAGUUGAAAGCGGUGUAAAUGGCUCUUAUCUGAACCACAAUGAAUUCACAUAUUCAAGUUGGCUUCUUCGGAAAUUUCAGGC
rnacentral:lncRNA from 10 species